GAUGAACGCUGGCGGCGUGCCUAAUACAUGCAAGUCGAGCGAACAGAUGAGGGGCUUGCUCCUCUGACGUUAGCGGCGGACGGGUGAGUAACACGUGGAUAACCUACCUAUAAGACUGGGAUAACUUCGGGAAACCGGAGCUAAUACCGGAUAAUAUAUUGAACCGCAUGGUUCAAUAGUGAAAGACGGUUUUGCUGUCACUUAUAGAUGGAUCCGCGCCGCAUUAGCUAGUUGGUAAGGUAACGGCUUACCAAGGCAACGAUGCGUAGCCGACCUGAGAGGGUGAUCGGCCACACUGGAACUGAGACACGGUCCAGACUCCUACGGGAGGCAGCAGUAGGGAAUCUUCCGCAAUGGGCGAAAGCCUGACGGAGAAACGCCGCGUGAGUGAUGAAGGUCUUCGGAUCGUAAAACUCUGUUAUUAGGGAAGAACAAAUGUGUAAGUAACUAUGCACGUCUUGACGGUACCUAAUCAGAAAGCCACGGCUAACUACGUG
rnacentral:rRNA from 1 species